CUGCAGUGACUACAAAGCCAGCAAGGCGGCACAAAGAAUUCAAAUAUGCAGUUGUAUCAAGAAAAAGUAUCUGCGGCCCCAUUUGUUAGCCCGUAUGGUGUUUUGUUUUCUUUCCCUUUUUAAAGUGUGUUAAAUCUGCUUAUCAUCACAAAUGUAAAAUUUCUCGGAAUGUGUUUCAAUUGGACAUAUAACAGCAUCAACAGGAUAUUCAUUUACACAGGUAUUCGUCAUGCAUUAUAAUUCUGGGAAUGUUGUGUUUGCCGAGCCCUAACAGAAAUUUCAUCUGUCUGAAUGAAUUCACUUAGAUGGCAAUCAAGUGAUUCAGUAUGGCUCUACACUUGCAUACCCAUUCGGUGGUAUAAUAAUCUCUCUAGUUCUCAGAAGCUGAUCCAGAACAUAAUCUUGAUCACAAUUGUUGAUUACUUGCUCCUACCCCCCCUUUUUUUUAAAAAAACCUAGCCUUUAUUCACUUGAAAUAACAGUUUCAUUCAAAGGCUCCUCAAUCCAUGUUGGAGAAAAUCUAGCCAACCUAGAAGCUCAUGCGCUUCUCUACUACAAAAAUCAAAACAAGAAAGAUGAUAAUGAGAAGCCAAAUAAUAACAAUCGUCAAACACUGCCGCACCCAUCGACCGCCCUUCAUUUUUCAUUGUGUCAAUUACCUUAAGUCAUCAGAGUUAAUAACAAGACAAGACGAUUGCACCUUCCCUUUGAGCAAGGGAUAGACCGAACAUAAGUGCCAGAGCUUCCAAUCUACUCUCCAGUUCCCUUGUAAUGAUUUUUUCUUUAUCGUCCCUCGAGACCGUCCCANNNNNNNNNNNNNNNNNNNNNNNNNNNNNNNNNNNNNNNNNNNNNNNNNNNNNNNNNNNNNNNNNNNNNNNNNNNNNNNNNNNNNNNNNNNNNNNNNNNNNNNNNNNNNNNNNNNNNNNNNNNNNNNNNNNNNNNNNNNNNNNNNNNNNNNNNNNNNNNNNNNNNNNNNNNNNNNNNNNNNNNNNNNNNNNNNNNNNNNNNNNNNNNNNNNNNNNNNNNNNNNNNNNNNNNNNNNNNNNNNNNNNNNNNNNNNNNNNNNNNNNNNNNNNNNNNNNNNNNNNNNNNNNNNNNNNNNNNNNNNNNNNNNNNNNNNNNNNNNNNNNNNNNNNNNNNNNNNNNNNNNNNNNNNNNNNNNNNNNNNAUGAACAUAAUUAGCCAUGAGAGCAAGAAUCCCCAUAGCAAUCUGGAUAGUAUCCUGAAUCUUCUCCUUAUGCACCAGCUUAUGCCUUUCCCCACAAAUAUUAAGCAGGGAUGGCAAUCAGCUCACGCGUAUUCUGAAGGCCCAUGACAGAUAAAUCUUGAUCUCGCAAGUGAAGUAAAAAUUCCAGGGAAGCAUCACCAGCAUGGUCAACUUCACAAGUUCUCAGUAAUUUUGUCCAAUCUCAGCCUUCUCCAAACCUCCUUAGCUUUCUGGUAUUGAAACAACAAAUGUUUUGUAUCUUCUAGACCAGAAGAACAAGAUGGGCAAAGGGGCGAAAUUUUCAGAUAUCUAUUGGCGAGCGUAACACGACAUGGAAGAGUGUCGUGUAAUGUCUGGCAAAUAAAUAUUUUAACCUUUGCUAAACAAGAUAAUUUCCAAAUCUGGCACCAAAUGGGAUUAAAAUUGGUUCGACCAAUUCCAUUGGUGCCUCGAAGUUUCUCUCCGUGUUGGUGAUCCCAUUUGACGAAAUAGGCAGAAUGAACAGAAAAAAAAAACUCAUUCUUGGUAUAGCUCCAAGCAACAAAGAGCAUGUCAUGUUGAGGAAGACAAAUAGAAAGGACCCCGUGUACAUCAAUUGGCCGCAAUGUUUGUCUUACCAAAUCUUCAUCCCUACUGCUAGACAUAGUCAAUGAAAUCUGAUACCUUUGAUAGCAAAUGACUUCAUUUUGGGUUGAUGACUUUUCUGUUAGCACAAUUAGGAAUCCAAGCAUCUUCCUAAAUAUCAAAUACACUGACCAUUACCAACUCGCUAGAUAUAACCAUUUUUCAGAGAAUACGCCCACAAUAAUACUUUGCCAAGAAAAAAGAUCUCUUUUUUAACUUUGCAUCAGUGAAUCUCCUUCAGGAAAAUACUUAGCUCUCAAAAGUGACGCAUAAAGAGUCUGGGUUCACAAGAAGACGCGAAGCCUGCUUCGCCAGCAACGCCAAACUAAAAUAAUGGAUAUCACAGAAACCCACACCUCCUUGAUUUAUUGGGACACACUCCACCAAGGCAUCCAAUGCAUUCAACUUUCGUUUUGGUCAUCUCCCCACCAAAACUACGACAUCGUGUCAAUAAUUUCUUUGCAAUUUUUUAGGAAUUUUAAAGACAAACACACCAUAGGUAGGAAUAUCUUGGACAACAAACUUGAGAAGAAUUUCCUUCCCUCCCGAGGAUAAUAAUUUUUCUUUCCAGCCGCUAAUUUUCUUUAUAAUAUGAUCAAUCAGAUAUUAAAAACAGUCGGUCUUAUCUAAACCCACAUUGGCUGGCAAACCUAAAUAUUUUUCAUUGAGGGCCUCGGUCAAAAUAUCCAGAAUGGAACAACUUCGUUCACUGGUUUCCACUCUCGUAUUUGGACUAAAAACUAUACUCUCGAUUUAUCAACACUCACCAAAUGCCUCGAGGCGAUACAAUACUGAUCCAAAACUGGUUUCAGAGACUCCCCACUGAGAGUAUUAGCUUUCAUGAGGAUAAACGAGUCAUCAACAAAAAAGGAGACUGGAAAUAGUGGGGGCAUCUCUGCACACCUCCGCUCCAGAAAUAUUUUCACUCUUCUUCCCAUGCGCCAAAAGAGCAGUAAGACCCUCAGUUCAUAAUAAAAACAAAUACGAAGAUAAAGGAUCACAAUGUCUUAAAACUCUCAUAGGUUUGAAGCUUCAUUAAUCUGGACCCUACCUGGUUUUGAAUCUGGAGGUGAUCUUUGAUCUUGAAUUAGGCACGCCACAGAAAAUAUACUACUCCCUCUAGUCCUAAUUAACUGUCGCAAUGUCAGUGUUAAUGGUGAAUGGACAUGUGAAGGGGCCGUGUCAAUUAAAUGGGGUCGGAGGGAGUACUAUUCUUUUUUGUGGCAUAUAACUCACAGUUCAUUACCUAAUUUCAUAACUAGAAUUUUGUGAUAUUAUGAAAUUACUUUGCAAGAAUCGAACAUAUAUGAUUUCUCUAUGUUCAAUCUAAAAUAUGUUACAAAAUUCAUAUCAUCAAAGCUCGUAGAUUAUUUUCUUGAAAUAGUCCUCAAAGGAUUUCGGUUCAUUAAUAAAGAAGAAGAGAGUUGCCUUGUUAAUUAACGAAAAACCAAGCAAAACCAUUACAACAAGAGUGCAGAAACAAUGCACCCGAGCGACCUGCCUACCCGCACAAGAAAGCACAUACCAUUGAGGAGAAUAACACUCGUAGAGUUUGACCUAACCCUUGUUCGUACUCUAUUUGUUUCAAAAUACUCACCAUAUUUAGGCUUCAUUAGGACAUUGAUUCAUAAAGUUGUUGGCAUAAAGAAAACUACUCUUAUAUACUUUAUGUUACAUAAAGUUGUUGACAUUGAUUCAUGUUCCACAAUACUUAUACACGAUCACGAUUUUGUAUUGCGAAUGUUACAUUUAAAAGUGAUAUUAUUUUUCAAAGGCUAUGAGUAUCACCGAAGUUUGGAUAAAAAUAAAAAUGUUCACUUGUAUGCCGAAGUUAAAAAGAGUCACUAAAGUUUAAAGAUGAGUGUCGCUGAAGUUCGGAUAAAAAAACUACCUUCACUCAAGUUCAUAUUUUUAAUCUGAGGGUGUUCAAAGGAAAUAAAAAUAGAAAAUAAAAAUUAGGCAGUUAAUGUAGCGCCCGUGAACCGGCACAAUGCAGAUCUAGCAACUUCCGCUAACCUCCGCAUAAUAUCUGUUCCAAGACCCCCACUUUCACACAACGUACAUGUGAAAAUGUGCAUGCCAUGUGAUGAAGCGCUGGUAUCACAACCCAGAUUACAAAUAUUUAGUAACAACAAUAUACAUAUAUAUAAACUCAUACAACCAGGGCCUUUCGACUAAGAUCCAACUCAUACAAUGGAAGCGAAUAAAUCUUAGACAGGUAAAGAACAACAAUUGCCUUAGGAAGGCUCAAAGUAAAGCAAAUGACAUCCAUAUCCCUGCUUAGGCUGCUGCCUGAAGGCAACCAAGCUAAUAUCGUCCAUCACCAUAUCUGUAAGUGUUUGUUGUGGCAAGGUGAGUACAUUGUGUACUCCUCAAGUCUCAUUACAAGGGUACUAACACUAACAAUACAUUAGGUAUGGAAGGGACAAGUGGUGAAGCUGCAAGCAUCUAAGCAAGACACUACAACUUACAUCCAAACUUAACAGUAACUUUUUCUUUUAUGCAAUCAAUAACAAUACUAGUAGUAUUCAAGAAGGGUCUACAAAAGAUUAUGGGAUAAAAGUUAUCUUGUUUAGAACCAAGCACUAAUAAAUUAGUAGGAUACUUAGUUUUUCCACAAAGAAUUUCAACAUCCCUAAUAAUCCCUAGAGGUGAGAUAGUAUCUGUAUUUGCAAGUUUAAUAGUAAUAUCAAUAUCUUCCAUCUCAUAAGGUGAAAUGCAUAACCUCUUGAUAGAGAGAAAAAUGAAUGACACUUACACUAGCACCCAUCUCACAUAAAUCAUGAUAACAAUGAUCGCCAAUCUUAGCCGAAGUAACAGGCAUGCCAACAACCCUAGCAGUUUUGUUCUCCUUAACAAUGUUAGAGGCUUGCUCACAGAAUUGAAUAACAUGUCCGUCAACAUUUCAAGCUACAAGAUCUUUAGCCAUGGCUAUUUGGUUUAAGUUUAAUUUGUUUAGAAUGUUUAGAUGCUCUAAUAUAGCUUUUACUAACCAUCGUUGUUACCAUAGAGUGCUCCUUAAUCCUAACAGAAAAAUAUGCUUUCUUAAUAUAAGCAGUAGGUAAAACAAGAUUAAUAGUAUGAACUUGUAUUUAUUUAUUAGCAAUGAUAGUUUGUUUACAAGUAUAUUUAAUGGGUUCAUGAUAUUUAAACAUUUCUCCUUAGGGAGAUCAAUAUGAGCAACAAAAGAUUUAUAGAAGUUGGCAACUAUUUUAGAAUCAAGUACUAAGUUCUUUAAAAAACAUCUAUUUCAACAAAAGACUUAACACAAUCAUAUUCAAGAUUUAUACCUGAUUCUUUACCUUUGUUGACAUCCCAAUCUUCAGCGUUGCGUUGAUGAAAGGAACGAGAAGAGGUGUCUAGGGGGGGGGGGGGUGAUUAGACCCUCAACAAGCAAAAGUGGCAAUUUUUAAGUUCUUCAAGUUGAGGUGGAGUUUUACCACAAGUUUAAGCAUUCACAAUACAUUUCAAGCAAGCAUGGCAAGAGUAUAAGCAGCAGAAAAAGUAAAGCAUGCUAAUUGCAAGAAAGUAAAGGGAUGGUGAAAGUGCAACUAUCCCUAGGUGGUUUUGGUAAUUCCUAACAACAUAUAGCUCAUUGAACUAAUGCUCUUUCAAGAUGAUCAUUUCAGAAUGCAUGGCAUGGACUAGGAAUGUGGACCCCUCAAAAUGCUAGGACACAUAUUGGCUCAAGCUCAAGACUCUACAUUUUCAUUUUAGUGAUCCAAGAUCACAUUGAGUCCAUAGGAAAAGCCAAUACUAUUAAAAGGGGAUGAGGUGUUGCUUAAUGGCUUGCUUGCUCAAAAUGCUUAGUGAUAUGCUCCAAAAGCCCUCAACCACUUUCUCAUAUCCACAUAUGUCCCAAACCAAAAGUCAAACUCGGCCUCACUAAUUUAAUCUAUCCGGCGCCACCGAGUUCAUUUGACAUAGCCACUGCCAGAAACCCUAACCAGUUCGGUCUCACCGAUAGGGAUCUCGGUCUCACCGAUAUGGGAUUGCAAACUCUCUGUUUCCCUUCGUAACGUUUCGGUCCAACCGAAAUGAGCGGCCGGUCCCACCGAGUUCGCAAUGCAAACUCUCUGUUUCCUUUUUGUAAUGUUUCGGUCUCACCGAAAUGAGCGAUUCGGUCCCACCGAGUUUGCCUGAUCAACUCUUUGUUUGCCAAUUACGGAAAUCGGUCUCACCGAGUUUAUGUGAUCGGUCUCAUCGAGAUUACGUUAUGCCCUAACCCUAAUGAAAUCGGUCCCACCGAGUUGACAUGUCGGUCCCACCGAAAAGCCUAACAUUCACAUUUUGAACUAAAUCGGUCUGACCGAGUUUCAUGAUUCGGUCUCACCGAGUUUGGUGAAUUGUGUGUAAUGGUUAGAUUUUGUGUGGAGGCUAUAUAUACCCCUCCACCCACUCUUCAUUCGAGGAGAGAGCCAUCAGAACGUGCCUACACUUCCAGCAUUCAUUUUCUGAGAGAGAACCACCUACUCAUGUGUUGAGACCAAGAUAUUCCAAUCCAACCACAAGAAUCUUGAUCUCUAGCCUUCCCCAAGUUGCUUUCCACUCAAAUCUUCUUUCCACCAAAUCCAAAUCUGUGAGAGAGAGUUGAGUGUUGGGGAGACUAUCAUUUGAAGCACAAGAGCAAGGAGUUCAUCAUCAACACACCAUCUAUUACCUUUUGGAGAGUGGUGUCUCCUAGAUUGGUUAGGUGUCACUUGGGAGCCUCCGACAAGAUUGUGGAGUUGAACCAAGGAGUUUGUACGGGCAAGGAGAUCGCCUACUUCGUGAAGAUCUAACCUAGUGAGGCAAGUCUUUCGUGGGCGAUGGCCAUGGUGGGAUAGACAAGGUUGCUUCUUCGUGGACCCUUCGUGGGUGGAGCCCUCCGUGGACUCGCGCAGCCGUUACCCUUCGUGGGUUGAAGUCUCCAUCAACGUGGAUGUACGAUAGCACCACCUAUCGGAACCAUGGAAAAAAUCUUCGUGUCUACAUUGCGUUUGCUCUCUCCAAACUCCUCCCUUACCUUCAUGUGCAAUGUUUUACAUUCCGCUGCUAUACUCUUAGACUUGCAUGUGUAGGUUGAUUGCUUGACUUGUGUUAAGUUGCUAAAAUCUGCCAAGACUUAAAAUUGGGAAAAGGCUAGAUUUUUAUUUGGUCAAGUAGUCUAAUCACCCCCCUCUAGACAUACUUUCGAUCCUACAGAUGGGAUUGGAGUGUGCAAACGCAAUGUAGACAUGGAGAUUUCUGGCAUGGUUCCGAUAGGUGGUGCUAUCGUACAUCCACGUUGAUGGAGACUUCAACCCACGAAGGGUAACGUUUGCGCGAGUCCACGGAGGGCUCCACCCACGAAGGGUCCACGAAGAAGCAACCUUGUAUAUCCCACCAUGGCCAUUGCCCAUGAAGGACUUGCCUCACUUGGGUUGAUCUUCACGAAGUAGGUGAUCUCCUUGCCCUUACAAACUUCUUGGUUCAACUCCACAAUCUUGUCGGAGGCUCCCAAGCGACACCUAACCAAUCUUGGAGACACCACUCUCCAAAAGGUAAUAGAUGGUGUGUUGUUGAUAAACUCCUUGCUCUUGUGCUUAAAAUGAUAGUCUCCCCAACACUCAACUCUCUCUCACAGAUUUAGCUAUGGUGGAAAGAUGAUUUGGGUGGAAAGCAACUUGGGGAAGGCUAGAGAUCAAGAUUCUUGUGGUUGGAUUGGAAUGUCUUGGUCUCAACACAUGAGUAGGUGGUUCUCUCUUAGAAAAUGAGUAGUGGAAGUGUAGGCACGUUCUGAUGGCUCUCUCUCAAAUGGAGAAGGGGGUGGAGGGGUAUAUAUAGCCUCCACACAAAAUCCAACCGUUACACACAUUUGACCCAACUCGGUCAGACUGAAUAGAAGAACUCGGUGAGAUCGAUUCAGUCAAAAUGUGAACGUUAGGAAUCUCGGUGGGACCGACUGGAACAACUCGGUAGGACCGAUGUCCUAGGGCUAGGGCAAAACCUCAUCUCGGUGAGACCGAUUGCUUGAACUCGGUGAGACCGAUUUCAGCAAAGAGUAAACAGAGAGUUGGUCAAGCAAACUCGGUGGGACCGAUUGCACAUUUAGGUGAGACCGAAAUAAUUGCAAGCAACAGAGAGUUUGCAAGGCCAUCUCGGUGAGACCGAGAUCCAUAUCGGUGUGACCGAAUUGUCUAGGGUUUCUGGCAGUGGCUUGGUCAAGUGGACUCGGUGGCGCCAAAUAGAUCAAAUCGGUGGGGCCGAGUUUGACUUUGAGUUUUGGACAUAUUUGGAAAUGAGAAAGUGGUUGAGGGUUUUGGAGCAAUAUCACUAAGCACUUUGAGCAAGUAGACCAUUAAGCAACACCUCAUCCCCUUUUAAUAGUAUUGGCUUUCCUAUGGACUCAAUGUGAUCUUGGUUCACUAAAAUAGAAAUGAAGAGUCUUGAGCUUUUGCCAAUCUUUGUCCUUAGCAUUUUGAAGGGGUUCCACAUCCUCUUGUCCUUGCCACGCCAUUGUUGAACUCAUCUGAAAUAUACUAGAUAAAAACAUUAGUUCAACAAGAGAUAUGUUGACAUUAAUUACCAAAAUCACCCAAGGAGCACUUGUGCUUUCAGUUGAAUUGUUUCAAUAAGAUACCAUUUAUAAUCAAUACAUUUACUUGUAAAAUAGCUAGCAGAAGAAGCAUCAAGCAUUUCUUUAUCGCAAAGAGAAAGUCUUGCAUAGAAAUUAUGAACAAUAAUAUCUAUAGAGAGCUCAUGAUUAGGGUAUCUAGGCAUUAAUGAGUUAAGCCUCCCUCAAGCUUGAGCGAUACUUUCUCCUUCACGAGGCCAAAAGUUAUAGAUAAAAUUCCAUUUACAAUGAAUCAAGUGCAUAUGAUAGAAUUUUGAGUGAAAGGCAGAUUUUAGUUGUUUCCAGUUCCAUGACUGCGGAUAAUCGAAUAGCUUGAACCAUGCCAAUGCAUUUCCCACCAAAGAUAAGGGAAUAUCUUCUUAACCUCCCUCUAUGGCAAACCUGAAAGCUUGAAUAUACCACAUAAUUCUUUUAUAACAAGCAAGUGCAUAUUAGGAUGAAUCUUUCCAUCUCCUGCAUAGCGGUUAACUCUUCCUUGCUCAAGGAUGAUAAUAGGUAUUUUGAAAUAAACAGUUUCAGCAGGUGGGGGUUCCUCCCUCACCACUUGUGCACAUGGGGAAGUCACUCCAAACAAGCCUUUUAAAGGAUUAUCUUCCAUAGUGAAGCAAAGGAACAAACGAAAAUAAAAAACAGCAAGUACAAUAAAGGUUUUUCUUACCAAAUUAUACUUAACAAAGAGUGCUACGCUCCCCGGCAAUGGCGCCAAAAAGAGUCUUGAUGACCCACAAGUAUAGGGGAUCAAUUGUAGCCUUUUCUAUAAGUGAGUGUCGAACCCAACGAUAAGCAGAAGGAAUUGACAAGUAGUUUUCAACAAGGUUUCACUGCAAAUGCUGCAAAGAUAAUUUGAUAGGUUGUUUCGUAGCAAGAUAAUUAGUAACAAUAUAAUAGUAACAAAAUCAAUAUAGUGCAGCAAGCGGCUCAAUCCUUAUGUAUGCUAAGGGCAAGCCGGUUGUGUUUCUUAUAGGGAUUAAAACGCUCUUGAUGAUUCACGGGAAUCACGUCAAGUUACUUUCAACAUGAUUCAUUAAGUUACUGUUCAUUGCUUUGAUAAGUGUUGUGUGGGUGGAUUGGAGCUAAGGUAUUGUAAUUAUUUGAAAAAAUAUCUAUGUAUGACUAUACCCUCCAUGUAAGCAUCCACAAAUACAAGAGUUGUAAUUAAGAUAAAUUUAACCAUAGCAUUACACAUAAGGAUCUAAAACAGCCCCUUACAAAAUAAUUCAUAAACCGGGUUUAGGUUUCUAUUUCUCCUGCAACCCAUCAUCUAGAAACUACUUCCACAAUGUAUUCUCCUAGGCCAUAUGAUGGUGAAGUGUCAUGUAGUCGACGUUCACAUGACAACACUAGAGAAAGAACAACAUAACAUAUCAUCAAAACAUUAAACAAUAUUCAACUUCACAUGAUUACUAGAAACAGACUUCUCCCAUGUCCUCAAGAACUAAUGGAUAUACUCACAAGACAUCAUAUGAAUCAUGAUCAGUAUGUAUAAAUAUAUGAAGAACAAUCUGAACGUAACAAUCUUUCACCGAUAAAUCACUUAUGCAUCAACUACAAUGUGUAAUCAACACAUACAAGAACUUCUAGUUGUUACGAAUCUGAGAUUUGGUACAAAGAUUGAACAAAUGAGAUGAAAUAGGGUUUGGAGAUGAGAUGGUGCUUGUGACGAUAUUGAUGAAGAUGAUGAUCCCAAUGAUGAAUGGAGUGUUGGUGAAGACGAUGGCUUCAAUUUCCCCUCCCGAGGGAAGUUUCUCCGGAAGAAUCGCUCCACCGGAGUGCAAAAGUGCUACGCCUUAGUUCCGCCUCGCAGAUGGUGGCGAAAAGUCCCGAGAAAUUUCUUGAUUUUUUCUAGGGCAAAUGAAAUUUAUUUUCCAAAGGGUGUCCACAGGCGAGCCACCAGUAGCCCAUGCGGCCAUGUAGCACGGCCAGGCCCACUCGCGUGGUGCCCUGGUGGUGCUACUUGUGAGCUACGUUGGGAUUUCCUCGAAGAGGAGAUGAUGAAGUAGUACAGUAGAGAUAAUUAAGUAUUUCCCUCAGUUAAGAACCAAGGUUAUCAAUCCAGUAGGAGAACCACACAGAACCUCGUUAACACCACCUGGACACACAAAGCAAAUACUUGCACCCAACGCAAACAAGGGGGUUGUCAAUCCCCCCGGCGGUUAUUUGCAAGGAUCAAAUCUCGUAGUGGUAGGUAAAUAGAUAAAUUGCAAAAUAAAAUAAUAAAAGUGCAGCAAGGUAUUUUUGUGUUUUUAUAUAUGAUAAAAGUAGACCCGGGGCCAUAGUUUUCACUAGAGGCUUCUCUCUCGAACACAUAUCUUACGGUGGGUGAACAAAUUACUGUUGUGCAAUUGAUAGAAAAGUGCAUAGUUAUGACAAUAUUCAAGGCAAUGAUCAUGUAUAUAGGCAUCACGUCCGAGACAAGUAGACCAACUCCUAUCUACAUCUACUACUAUUACUCCACCCAUCAACCGCUAUCCAGCAUGCAUCUAGGGUAUUAAGUUCAUAAAAAUAGAGUAACGCCUUAAGCAAGAUGACAUGAUGUAAAAAAAGUAAACCCAAGAAAUCUGAAUAAACCCCAUCUUUUUAUCCUUAAUGGCAACAAUACAAAUACGUGUCCUUUCCCUUUCUGUCACUGGGAUGGAGCACCGCAAGAUUGAACCCAUCACAAAGCACCUCUCCCAUUGCAAGAUAAACCAAUCUAGUUGGCCAAACUAAAAAGAUAGUUCGAAGAGAAAUACAAAGCUAUAACAAUCAUGCAUAAAAGAAUUUAGGAAAUACUCAAUUAAUAUACAUGAAUAAUCUAAUCAUAAACCCACAAUUCAUCGGAUCCCAACAAACACACCGCAAAAGAAGAUUACAUCGGAUAGAACUCCAAGAACAUCGAGAAGAACAUUGUAUUGCAGAUCAAAGACAGAGAAGAAGCCAUCUAGCUAUGGACCCGUAGGUCUGUGGUGAACUACCCACGCAUCAUCGGAGGGCAGCAAGGAUGGUGUAUAAGCCCUCCGUGAUCAAUUCCACCUCCGGCAGAAUACCAAAAAGGCCUCCAGAUGGGAUCACGGAAGAACAGAAACUUGUGGUGGCGGAAAAAGUGUUUGGGGUGGCUCCCCAUUUGUUUCCCAAUUUUAGAGAAUUUAUAGAGGUGAAUUAGGUCAGACGAAGCCACAUGGGGCUCACAAGGUAAGAGGGCAUUCCUACCCCCUGGGCGCGCCCUGUUGCCCUGCCGUCUCCUCGCUUCUCUUCUGGUCUCCUCCCAAAGCUUCUAGAGUCUCUUUUGUCCAGAAAAAAAUCGUCAAAAAGUUUCAUAGCGUUUGGACUCUGUUUAGUACCGAUUUCCUGGAAAACCAAAAACAAGCAGAAAACAUCAACUGGCACUUGGCACUGGGUUAAUAGGUUAGUCCUAGAAAAUGAUAUAAAAUAGCACAAAAAGUUAUAUAAAAAAAUUCAAGAUUGAUACUAUAAUAGCAUGGAACAAUCAAAAAAUAUGGAUACGCUGGAGAGGUAUCAAGCAUCCCCAAGCUUAAUUCCUGCUCGUCCUCGAGUAGGUAAAUGAUAAAAACAUAAUUUUUGAUGUGGAAUGCUACCUAACAUGUUCAUCUUGUAAUAUUUUUUUAUGGUAUGAAUAUUAAGAUCCGAAUGAUUCAAAGAAACAGUUCAUAAUUUGACAUAAAGACAUCAAUACUCUGGCAUACUAACAAACAAUCAUGCCUUUCAAAAUAUAAAUGCUAAAGAACGCUAUCCUUACAAAAUCAUAUAGCCUUAUCAUGCUCCAUCUUCUUGACACAAAAUAUAAAUCAUGGGCUACCCCGGUGUCAGCCAAGCAAUUGGUUCAUACUUUUUAAUGUGCUUCAUCUUUUUUAACCCCACGCAAUACACGAGCGUAAGCCAUGGACAUAACACUAUGGGUGGAAUAGAAUGUGGUGGUAGAGAUUAAUAUGGAGAAGACAAAAAAGAAAGAAAGUCUCACAUCGACUCAACUAAUCAACAGGCUAUGGAGAUGCCCAUAAAUUGAUGUCAAUGCGAGGAGUAGGGAUUGCCAUGCAACAAAUGCACUAAGAGCUAUAAGUGUAUGAAAUCUCAAACUGAAAACUAAGUGGGUGUGUAUCCAACUUGCUUGCUCAUGAAUACCUACUACUUGUGAGCUGCGUUGGGAUUUCCUCGAAGAGGAUAGGAUGAUGCAGUACAAUAGAGAUAAGUAUUUCCCUCAGUUAUGAACCAAGGUUAUCAAUCCAGUAGGAGAACCAAGCAAUACUAUGUAAACAACACCUGCACACAAACAACAAAUACUUGCAACCCAACGUGUAGAGGGGUUGUCAAUCCCUCAACGGUUACGAGCAAGAUAAAACAAUAUAGUUUUUGAUAGAUAGAUCAAACAAAAAUACAAAAUAAAAUAAAUAAAAGUAAAUUGCAGCGAUAUGUUUUUGGUUUUGAUAUAUGAUAGAAAAUAGACCCAGGGGUCAUAGUUUUCACAAGAGGCUUCUCUCAUAAAAAUAGCAUACGGUGGGUAGACAAAUUACUAUUGGGCAAUUGGCAGAAAAGCAAAUAAUUAUGACAAUAUCCAAGGCAAUGAUCAUGUAUAUAGGUAUCACGUCCGAGACAAGUAGACCGAAACAAUUUUGCAUCUACUACUAUUCUCCACACAUUGACCGCUAUCCAGCAUACAUCUAGUGUAUUAAGUUCAUGGAAGAACGGAGUAACACCUUAAGCAAGAUGACAUGAUGUAGACAAGAUAAACUCACGUGUGAAAUAAAUCCCAUCUUGUUACCCUUAAUAGCAACAAUACAUGCGUGCCAUGUCCCUUUCUGUCACUGGGAUUGAGCACCGCAAGAUCGAACCCAUCACAAAGCACCUCUUCCCAUGGCAAGGUAAACCAAUCUAAUUGGCCAAACCAAACCAAUAAAUCGGAGAAGAAAUACGAGGCUAUAACAAUCAUGCAUAAAAGAGUUCAAAGAAUACUCAAAUAGUAUUCAUGGAUAGAUCCGAUCAUAAACUCACAAUUCAUUGGAUCCCAACAAACACACCGCAAAUGUCAUUACAUCAAAUAGAUAUCCAAGAACACCGAGGAGAACACUGUAUUGAAGAUCAAAAAGAGAGAAGAAGUCAUCUAGCUGAAUGAAAUAUGCCCUAGAGGCAAUAAUAAAGUUGUUAUUUUAUAUUUCCUUAUAUCAUGAUAAAUGUUUAUUUUUCAUGCUAGAAUUGUAUUAACCGGAAACUUGAUACAUGUGUGGAUACAUAGACAAAACAGCGUGUCCCUAGUAAGCCUCUACUAGACUAGCACGUUAAUCAAAGAUAGUUAAGUUUCCUAACCAUAGACAUGUGUUGUAAUUUGAUGAACGGGAUCACAUCAUUUGGAGAAUGAUGUGAUGGACAAGACCAUCCAUUAGCUUAGCAUAUUGAUUGUUCAGUUUUAUUGUUGUUGCUUUCUUCAUGUCAUAUACAUAUUCCUUUGACUAUGAGAUUAUGCAACUCCCAGAUACCGGAGGGAUGCCUUGUGUGCUAUCAAACGUCACAACGUAACUAAGUGAUUAUAAAGAUACUCUAUAGGUAUCUCCGAAGUUGUUUGUUGGGUUGGCAUAGAUCGAGAUUAGGAUUUGUCACUCCGAGUAUCGGAGAGGUAUCUCUGGGCCCUCUCGAUAAUGCACAUCAUAAGAAGCCUUGCAAGCAAUGUAACUAAUGAGUUAGUUAUGGGAUGAUGUAUUACGGAACGAGUAAAGAGACUUGCCGGUAACGAGAUUGAACUAGGUAUGAAGAUACCGACGAUCGAAUCUCGGGCAAGUAACAUACCGAUGACAAAGGGAAUAGCGUAUGUUGUCAUUUCGGUACGACCGAUAAAGAUAUUCGUAGAAGAUGUGGAAACCAAUAUGAGCAUCCAGGUUCCGCUGUUGGUUAUUGACCGGAGAGGUGUCUCGGUCAUGUCUACAUAGUUGUCGAACUCGUAGGGUCUGCACGAACGUUCGAUGAUGAUUUUGUAUUAUAUGAGUUAUGUGAUUUGGUGACCGAAUGUUGUUCGGAAGUUCCAGAUGAGAUCACAGACAUGACGAGGAGUCUCAGAAAGGUCGAGAGGUAAAGAUUGAUCUAUAGGAUGAUGGUAUUCGGACACCAGAAGUGUUCCGGGGGUACCGGGUACAUAUCGGGUCACCGGAAGGGGUUCCAAGCAUCCCCCCGGCAACUACAUGGGCCUAAUGGGCCAAGAAGGGGACAGACUAGCCCCUAAGGGGCUGGUGCGCCCCAUAUAGGCCGAAAUAGGAGGAGAAGGAAAUAGGGGAAGGGAGAAGAAAAGGGGAGGAUUCGGCCUCCCCCUUCUCUUUCCUUUCCCCUCCGAUGAAUAAGGAAGGGGGGGGGGCGAAUUGGGGAGGAACCCCAAGUAGGAUUCGGCUUACUUGGGGCGUCACCCUUGGCUGCUCCCUCUCCCUCCCACCUAUAUAUAUGAGGGGGGGGGGGAGGUGCCUAGACACAUAACAUCAUCUGUUAGCCGUGUGCAUCGCCUCCCUCCACAGAUUUCACCCUCGGUCAUAUCUCCGUAGUGCUUAGGCGAAGCUCUGCGUGGAUCACUUCACCAUCACCGUCACCACGCCGUCGUGCUGGCGGAACUCAUCUCCCUCGACACUUUGCUAGAUCAAGAUUUCGAGGGACGUCAUCGAGCUGAACGUGUGCAGAACUCGAAGGUGUCGUACGUUCAGUGCUUGAUCGGUCGGAACGAGAAGAAGUUCGACUACAUCAACCGCGUUGUCAAUCCCUUCCGCUUUCGGUUUAUGAGGGUACGCAGACACACUCUCCCCUCUCGUUGCUAUGCAUCUCCUAGAUAGAUCUUGCAUGAGCGUAGGAAUUUUUUUGAAAUUGCAUGCUACGUUUCCCAACAGUGGCAUCCGAGCGAGGUCUAUGCGUAGAUGAUAUGCAUGAGUAGAACACAAAGAGUUGUGGUCGGUGAUUGUCAUACUGCUUACCACCAAUGUCUUAUUUUGAUUCGGUGGUAUUGUUGGAUGAAGUGGCCCGGACCAACCUUACAUGAACACGUUCAUGAGACUGGUUCAACCGAUAGACAUGCAACUAGUUUUGCAUAAAGGUGGCUGGCGGGUGUCUAUUUCUCCAACUUUAGUUGAAUCGAAUUUUACUGCGGCCGGUCCUUGUUGAAGGUUAAAACAGCAAACUUGAUAAAUCACCAUUGUGGUUUUGAUGCGUAGGUAAGAACGGUUCUUGCUAGAAGCCCGUAGCAGCCACGUAAAACUUGCAACGACAAAGUAGAGGACGUCUAACUUGUUUUUGCAGGGCAUGUCGUGAUGUGAUAUAUGGUCAAGACAUGAUGUGAUAUAUGCUAUUGUAUGAGAUGAUCAUGUUUUGUAAAAGUCACUGGCAACCGGUAGGAACCUUAUGGUUGUCUCUUUAUUGUAUGAAAUGCAAAUGCCAUGUAAUUGCUUUAGUUUAUCACUAUGCAUUAGCGAUAGUUGUAGAAGCAAUAGUUGACGAGACGACCACGACGCUACGAUGGAGAUCCAGGUGUCAAGCCAGUGACGAUGGAGAUCAUGACGGUGCUUUGGAGAUGGAGAUCAAAGGCACAAGAUGAUGAUGGCCAUAUCAUGUCACAUAUUUUGAGUGCAUCUGAUGUUUAUCUUUUAUGCAUCUUAUUUUGCUUAGUACGGCGGUAGCAUUAUAGGAUGAUCCCUUACUAAAAUUUCAAGGUAUAAGUGUUCUCCCUGAGUAUGCACCGUUGCGACAGUUCAUCGUGCUGAGAAAUCAUUUGAUGAUCGGGUGUGAUAAGCUCUACGUUCACAUACAACGGGUGCAAGACAGUUUUGCACAUGCGGAAUACUCGGGUUAAACUUGACGAGCAUAGCAUGUACAUACAUGGCCUCGGAACACUGGAGACCGAAAGGUCAAACGUGAAUCAUAUAGUAGAUAUGAUCAACAUAGCGAUGUUCACCAUUGAAGACUACUCCAUCUUACGUGAUGAUCGGUCAUGGUUUAGUUGAUUUGGAUCAAGUAUCAUUUAGAUGACUUGAGGGAUGUCAAUCUAAGUGGGAGUUCUUAAGUAAUAUGAUUAAUUGAACUUAAUUUAUCAUGAACUUAGUCCUGAUAGUUUUUUGCAUAUCUAUGUUGUAGAUCAAUGGCCCGUGCUACCGUUCCCUUGUAUUUUAAUGCAUUCCUAGAGAAAGCUAAGUUGAAAGACGAUGGUGGCAACUACACAGACUGGGUCCAUAACUUGAGGAUUAUCCUCAUUGCUGCACAAAAAAAAAUCAUGUCCUUGAUGCACCGCUAGGUGUGGCACCCCCUCCAGCAACUAUAGACAUUGUGAACGCCUAGCAGUUGCGUGUUGCUGACUACUCAGUAGUUCAGUGUGCCAUGCUUUCCGGCUUAGAAUCGGGACUUCAAAGACGUUUUGAACGUCAUGGACCAUAUGAGAUGUUCCAGGAGUUGAAGUUAAUAUUUCAAGCAAAUGCCCGAGUUGAGAGAUAUGAAGUGUCCAACAAGUUCUAUAGCUGCAAGAUGGAGGAGAACAGUUCUGUCAGUGAACACAUACUCAGAAUGUCUGGAUAUCUAAUCACUUGACUCAGCUGGGAGUUAAUCUUCCAGAUGAUAGUGUUAUUGACAGAGUUCUCCAAUCCCUGCCACCAAGCUACAAAUGCUUCGUGAUGAACUAUAAUAUGCAAGGGAUGGAUAAGACUAUUCCCGAGCUCUUCGCAAUGCUCAAAGCUGCGGAGGUAGAAAUCAAGAAGGAGCAUCAAGUGUUGAUGGUUAACAAGACCACUAGUUUCAAGAAAAAGGACAAAGGAAAGAAGGGGAACUUCAAGAAGAAUGGCAAACAAGUUGCCACUCCCGAGAAGAAGCCCAAGUCUGGACCUAAGCGUGAAACUGAGUGCUUAUACUGCAAAUGGACUGGUCACUCGAAGCGGAACUGCCCCAAGUAUUUGGCGGAUAAGAAGGAUGGCAAAGUGAACAAAGGUAUAUGUGAUAUACAUUUUAUUGAUGUGUACCUUACUAAUGCUCGUAGUAGCGCCUGAGUAUUUGAUAUUGGUUUGGUUGCUCAUAUUUGUAACUCGAAACAUGGGCUACGGAUUAAACGGAGAUUGGCUAAGGACGAGGUGACGAUGCACGUCGGGAAUGGUUCCAAGGUUGAUGUGAUCGCCGUAGGCACGCUACCUCUACAUCUACCUUUGGGAUUAGUUUUAGACCUGAAUAAUUGUUAUUUGGUGCCAGCGUUGAGCAUGAACAUUAUAUCUGGAUCUUGUUUAAUGCGAGACGAUUAUUCAUUUAAAUCAGAGAAUAAUGGUUGUUCUAUUUAUAUGGGUAAUAUCUUUUAUGGCCAUGCACCCUUGAAGAGUGGUCUAUUUUUUUUGAUUCUCGAUCAUGGUGAUACACAUAUUCAUAAUAUUGAUGCCAAAAGAUGCAAAGUUGAUAAUGAUAGUGCAACAUAUUUGUGGCACUGCCGUUUAGGUCAUAUUGUUGUAAAGCGCAUGAAGAAGCUCCAUGCGGAUGGACUUUUGGAAUCACUUGAUUAUGAAUCGUUUGAUGCUUGCGAACCAUGCCUCAUGGGCCAGAUGACUAAGACUCCGUUCUCCGGAACAAUGGAGCGAGCCACUGACUUAUUGGAAAUAAUACAUACCGAUGUAUGCGGUCCGAUGAGUGUUGAGGCUCGCGGCGGGUAUCGUUAUUUUCUGACCUUCACAGAUGAUUUGAGCAAUAUGGGUAUAUCUACUUGAUGAAACACAGGUCUGAAACAUUUGAAAAGUUUAAAGAAUUUUAGAGUGAAGUGGAGAAUCAUCGUAAGAAGAAAAUAAAGUUUCUAUGAUCUGAUUGCAGAGGCGAAUAUUUGAGUUAUGAGUUUGGCCUUCAUUUAAAACAAUGUGGAAUAGUUUCAUGACACACGCCACCUGGAACACCACAGUGUAAUGGUGUGUCCGAACGUCGUAAUCGUACUUUAUUAGAUAUGGUGCGAUCUAUGAUGUCUCUUACCAAUUUACCACUAUCGAUUUGGGGUUAUGCAUUAGAGACAACUGCAUUCACGUUAAAUAGGGCAGCGUCUAAAUCCACUGAGACGACACCGUAUGAACUAUGGUUUGGAAAGAAACCUAAGCUGUCUUUUCUUAAAGUUUGGGGUUGCGAUGCUUAUGUGAAAAAGCUUCAGCCUGAUAAGCUCGAACCCAAAUCGAAGAGGUGCGUCUUCAUAGGAUACCCAAAAGAAACUGUUGGAUACACCUUCUAUCACAGAUCCGAAGGCAAAAUCUUUGUUGCUAAGAAUGGAUCCUUUCUACAGAAGGAGUUUCUCUCGAAAGAAGUGAGUGGGAGGAAAGUAGAACUUGAUGAGGUAAUCGUACCUGCUCCAUUAUUGGAAAGUAGUUCAUCACAGAAAUCGGUUCCUGUGAUUACUACACCAAUUAGUGAGGACGCUACUGAUGAUGAUCAUGUAACUUCAGAUCAAGUUACUACUGAACCUCGUAGGUCAACCAGAGUAAGAUCCGCACCAGAGUGGUACGGUAAUCCAGUUCUGGAGGUCAUGUUACUUGACCAUGACGAACCUACGAACUAUGAGGAAGCGAUGAUGAGCCCAGAUUCCGCAAAAUGGUUGAGGCCAUGAAAUCUGAGAUGGGAUCCAUGUAUGAGAACAAAGUGUGGACUUUGGUUGACUUGCCCGAUGAUCGGCAAGCCAUCGAGAAUAAAUGGAUUUUCAAGAAGAAGACUGACGCUGACGGUAAUGUUACUGUCUACAAAGCUCGACUUAAUGCGAAAGGUUUUCGACAAGUUCAAGGAGUUGACUACGAUGAGACCUUCUCACCCGUAGCGAUGCUUAAGUCCGCCCGAAUCAUGUUAGCAAUUGCUGCAUUUUAUGAUUAUGAAAUUUGGCAAAUGGAUGUAAAGACUGCAUUCCUGAAUGGAUUUCUGGAAGAAGAGUUCUAUAUGAUGCAAACCGAAGGUUUUAUCAAUCCAAAGGAUGCUAACAAAGUGUGCAAGCUCCAGCGAUCCAUUUAUGGACUGGUGCAAGCAUCUCGGAGUUGGAAUAAACGUUUUGAUAGUGUGAUCAAAGCAUAUGGUUUUAUACGGACUUUUGGAGAAGCCUGUAUUUACAAGAAAGUGAGUGGGAGCUCUGUAGCAUUUCUAAUAUUAUAUGUGGAUGACAUAUUGUUGAUUGGAAAUGAUAUAGAAUUUCUGGAUAGCACAAAAGGAUACUUGAAUAAGAGUUUUUCAAUGAAAGACCUCAGUGAAGCUGCUUAUAUAUUGGGCAUCAAGAUCUAUAGAGAUAGAUCAAGACACUUAAUUGGACUUUUACAAAGCACAUACCUUGAUGAGGUAAUUGUACCUUCUCUCGAAUUGGAAAGUAGCUCAUCAUAGAAAACCGUUCCCGUGAUGCCUACACCAACUAGAGAGGAAGCUAAUGAUAAUGAUCAUGAAACUUCAGAUCAAGUUACUACCGAACCUCGUAGGUCAACUAGAGCAUGUUCCACACUAGAGUGGUACAUUAAUCCUGUUCUGGAAGUCAUGUUACUAGACCAUGACGAACCUACGAACUAUGAAGAAGUGAUGAUGAGCCCAGAUUCCGAUAAAUGGCUUGAGGCCAUGAAAUUUGAGGUAGGAUCCAUGUAUGAGAACAAAGUGUGGACUUUGGUUGACUUGCUCGAUGAUCUGCGAGCCAUACAGAAUAAAUGGAUCUUCAAGAAGAAGAGUGACGCUGAUGGUAAUGUUACUAUCUACAAAGCUCGACUUGUCGUGAAAGGUUUUCAACAAGUUUAAGGAGUUGACUACGACAAGACUUUCUCACCCGUAGCGAUGCUUAAGUCUGUCUGAAUCAUGCUAGCAAUUGCCGCAUUUUAUGAUUAUGAAAUCUGGCAAAUGGACAUCAAAACUGCAUUCCUUAAUGGAUUUCUUAAAGAAGAGUUGUAUAUGAUGCAACCAGAAGGUUUUGUCGAUCCUAAAGGUGCUAACAAAGUGUACAAGCUCCAGCAAUCCAUUUAUGGACUAGUGCAAGCAUCUCGGAGUUGGAAUAUACGCUUUGAUGAGGUGAUCAAAGCAAAUGGUUUUAUAUAGACUUUCAGAGAAGCCUAUAUUUACAAGAAAGUGAGUGGGAGCUCUGUAGCAUUUCUAAUAUUAUAUGUGGAUAACAUAUUGUUGGUUGGAAAUGAUAUAGAAUUUCUGGAUAGCAUAAAAGGAUACUUGAAUAAGAUUUUUUCAAUGAAAGACGUCCGUGAAGCUGCUUAUAUAUUGGGCAUCAAGAUCUAUAGAGAUAGAUCAAGACGCUUCAUUGAACUUUCACAAAGCACAUACCUUGAUAAAGUUUUGAAGAAGUUCAAAAUGGAUCAAGCAAAGAAAGGGUUCUUGCCUGUGUUACAAUGUGUGAAGUUGAGUCAGGCUCAAUGCCCGACCACUUCAGAAGAUAGGGAGAAAAUGAAAGUCAUUCCCUAUGCCUUAGCCAUAGGUUCUAUCAUGUAUGCUAUGCUGUGUACCGGACCUGAUGUGUGCCUUGCUAUAAGUCUAGCAGGGAGGUACCAAAGUAAUCCAGGAGUGGAUCACUGGACGGCGGUAAAGAACAUCCUGAAGUACCUGAAAAGGACUAAGGAUAUGUUUCUCGUUUAUGGAGGUGACAAAGAGCUUGUUGUAAAUGGUUACGUUGAUGCUAGCUUUGACACUGAUCCGGUUGACUCUAAGUCACAAACCGGAUACACAUUUAUAUUGAAUGGUGGCUCUGUCAGUUGGUGCAGUUCCAAGCAAGCAUCGUGGCAGGAUCUACGUGUGAAGCGGAGUACAUAGCUGCUUCGGAAGUAGCAAAUGAAGGAGUCUGGAUGAAUGAGUACAUAUCCGAUCUUGGUGUAAUACCUAGUGCAUUGGGUCCAAUGAAAAUCUUUUGUGACAAUACUAGAGCAAUUGCCUUGGUGAACGAAUCCAGAUUUCACAAAAGAGACACUUCAACUCCAUCUGUGAUCAAGUCAAGGAGGGAGACAUAGAGAUUUGCAAAAUACAUACGAAUCUGAAUGUGGCAGACCCGUUAACUAAGCCUCUUCCAUGAGCAAAACAUGAUCAGCACCAAGACUACAUGGGUGUUAGAAUCAUUACAAUGUAAUCUGGAUUAUUGACUCUAGUGCAAGUGGGAGACGGGAGGAAAUAUGCCCUAGAGGCAAUAAUAAAGUUGUUAUUUUAUAUUUCAUUAUAUCACGAUAAAUGUUUAUUAUUCAUGCUAGAAUUGUAUUAACCGAAAACUUGAUACAUGUGUGGAUACAUAGACAAAACACCGUGCAAAACAUGAUCAACACCAAGUUUCCUAACCAUAGACAUGUGUUGUCAUUUGAUGAACGGGAUCACGUCAUUAGGAGAAUGAUGUGAUGGACAAUACCCAUCCGUUAGCUUAGCAUAUUGAUCGUUCAAUUUUAUUGCUAUUGCUUUAUUCAUGUCAUAUACAUAUUCCUUGGACUAUGAGAUUAUGCAACUCCCGGAUACCGGAGGAAUGCCUUAUGUGCUAUCAAACAUCACAACAUAAAUGGGUGAUAAUAAAGAUGCUCUAUAGGUAUCUCCGAAGGUGUUUGUUGGGUUGGCAUAAAUCGAGAUUAGGAUUUGUCACUCCGAGUAUCGGAGAGGUAUCUCUGGGCCCUCUCGGUAAUGCACAUCAUUAGAAGCGUUGCAAGCAGUGUAACUAAUGGGUUAGUUGCAGGAUGAUGUAUUAUGGAGCGAGUAAAGAGACUUGCCAGUAAUGAGAUUGGACUAGGUAUGAAGAUACCGACGAUCGAAUCUCGGGCAAGUAACAUAUCGAUGACAAAGGGAAUAACAUAUGUUGUCAUUACGGUACGACCGAUAAAGAUCUUCGUAGAAUUUGUAGGAACCAAUAUGAGCAUCCAGGUUCCGCUGUUGGUUAUUGAUCGGAGAGGUGUCUCGGUCAUGUCUACAUAGUUCUCGAACCCGUAGGGUCCGCACACUUAACGUUCAAUGACGAUUUUGUAUUAUAUGAGUUAUGUGAUUUGGUGACCGAAUGUUGUUCAGAGUCCCAGAUGAGAUCACGGACAUGACGAGGAGUCUCAAAAUAGUCAAGAGGUAAAGAUUCAUAUAUAGGACAAUGAUAUUCGGACGCGGGAAGUGUUCUAGGGGUACCGGGUACAUAUCGGGUCACUGGAAGGGGUUCCGGGCACCCCCCGCGACAACUAUAUGGGCCUAAUGGGCCAAGAAGGGGGCUGUCGGGGAAAACGGACAGGGGUAUAUAUUUUACCCUGAGUUGUGCACGGACAAGCCAAAGGCCGUGCCAAGAUGCAAGAAAUCAAGGUAUUCGAAGGGCCAACAUGCGGAUGAAGAAGACCAAGAUCAAGCCAGAAGAGCAAGAUGCCACCGGGAGAAAAGCCUCCCUUGCCGGUCAGGCGGGCUCGACAAGAAUGGGGCUACCCCCAGAAGAAGACGUCCAAGACGUCCCAGCAGGGCCUGCCGGGGCUCACGGAGGCAAAGCCACCUCACCCAACCACUCCGCCAUGACCCACAUCGUCAAUCAGUGCGGUGUCAAGCCGCAAAGUGACUAAGUGGCAGCCAUUCACCACAUGGAAGCUUUUCUCUACGGAAGAUGCCCAAGAACGACACCCGUGCUGCGACGUGUCAAACGAGCAGGCGUGGAGCUGGCGAGACAGCCCGGCAAGGCUUGCCGAGCAACCAAUGAUGUGAUGUUAAUCGGUGCAUUUAAUGCACCCUGUCAGCCUGCAGAGUUACGUAUGAUAGCACUGUUUGCUAUCUUAUCAGUGCAUAAUGACCACUUUGUGUCAGUGGAAAUGACAUCUAUGGGAUCACUGGAAUCCCUUGUACGGUUGGCGGGCGGGGCGUUGUGCAAAGAGCGGGUCUGGCGGUCAGCACAAGGAUCGUUUACCCAGGUUCGGGCCGUGAGGAUGCGUAAUACCCUAGUCCUGCUUUGGUGUAUGUAUUUGAGUGUUCUUGAGUUCUUGAGCUAGCUACGAUGCAUGUCUAGUCCCAAGGAUCCGAAUCCUUCUCCUGGACGCCUCGGGCCUCCUUUUAUAGCCGAAAGGGGUUGCCACAGUGGCACACAGGAGGUGGAAAGGUGUACAGUACGCAAGCUUAUCGCUUGUCAUUAUGGGACAAGACGCAUUGAAUGCGCUCCCUUAGGUGUCCCGUUGCUUUAUCAGGGAUGGCAACGAGGCCCGUCCCAUCCGUCGCCGCUUCGUCUCGCCCCAACACGCGUCCAGGCCAACGAUGCAUGCGGCGCCAUGUAGGCUGGCAGGCUGCUGAGAUGGCGCGGUGGUAGGGUCUUCACGAAGAUCUGCAUGGCACCACGCAGGUGCUUGCUGAGCUGGUCUGGAAGCCGCACGUUGCUACGUAGGUGCCUGCCCAGCUGGUUGGGCUAGCGGCUGUAUGGGAACGGCGGUGGAGUCUUGGCAGACGCGGGCCUGGUUGUGUCCUCACAGGUGUCCUCGGCAAGGGCCUUGCCGCGGCAUCGCGGUCCUCCCCGGCAAGGAUCUUGCCAGUGGUCUCGUGGGUUUCCUUGGCUGGGAUCCCAUCGAGGAUCGUCGUCUUCUGGUCCUCAUCUGAUCUUGUAUGCUUCUGAUCUUCACAAAGAUCUGCAUGCCACCACAGAGGUGCCUCCCGAGCCUUGGUCCCAACGUGGUUGAUGGCGUUGGAGCCCUCGGCCCAAGGGUGGCGCGCUUCGCUGGCAUCGGGCAAGUUGCUCUGGCAAGGCUCUUGCCGGGGCCGCGGAGGCCGCCCCGGCAAGGGUCUUGCCGGGGGAGCCUACCUCACCCUUCUGCUCUUUGUGUCUCUGGUCUUGGCAUUGCUCUAGUUGUCUUGCGCCUUCGGCUUCCCUCCUCUGCCCUACUUAGUAUGGCCGUGGGCGCGACUCUGACUGCCCGUGCACAAGUAAAGGGGUAAAAAGGAGAGCCCCUACUUUUGUGCACCGACAGGAGCCCCCGGGCCUGGGCCACACAUAAGCGCAACGCGUUGUUGGGCCGGGCCCAGAAUGGUGCGCGGGCAGGCGGGGCGGGAUUUUACCGCAGUAAUUUCUUCGCUUGCUUGCGCUUCCCCACAACCCACGUUGAACGCUCGUCGUGGAGGGUCGUGCGUGACGUGGGGGGCAUGCAUGGGGCGACCGCUGCCCUCAUGCGUCACAUCGCAGUAAAAGAGGUGGCUCGCGCCUUCCCCAUAAAAAGAGGAAAACGCAGAGGCGCGGCUCAUUUACUGAGUGGACUCGGGUCGUGGUCUUCAAGGCGUCCGCGCCCCACGAUCACUGGCUGGAGAAUGGUCGCCUCACCCGUCCCCUCAAUUUCCGCUUGCUCGCCACGUGUCCCCCAUGCCCCUAAGGUGGCAGGAGGUGGAGGCGGGAAACCGGGCCGUCGCUGAUUGGAGCAGCGGGUCAGUUUCGAUUCCCUGCACCCCCAACGGCCGGAUUGGCUGAGUGGGGCGGCCGAGUCCCGACCCCGCCCCUUUAUAAGAAGGGGGAGGGGGAUGGCAUCCCACAUUCUCUCAUCGUCCAUCUCCUUCCACCUCGUCCCCUUCCUUCCAUCUGCCAUGGCGAGAGGGGGCGCCGGCCCUUCGACGGUGGCGGCGAGGGUCUCUGCUCGACAGCGCGUCCCUCCUUCCCAAGAGCUUGCGGCAGCGGAGCCGGCCACGAGAGGAAGGGGCGAGGCCGAGGUCGCCGUGGCGCUCGGGGAAGAGGGGGACGGGGCGGCGCACCGGCCUUGCCUCCGCCGGCGAUGCCUCCCCCAAUGGAGGGCCACGUUGGGGACCAGCCCCAUGAGUUCUUCACCAGGCUGCGCCGGCCACCACGUUGUCGUCUUCGUCUCCCUACUCCAUUCACUCCGGAGAUGGAGCUCGACCCGCCGCAGACCCUCAGGUUGCAUAUGAGGGGCUGCGGGAACGGCAGCACGCGGGUCGACGUCGACUUCCCCGCUCCUCACGUCAUGUACCUUCGUCGCGGAUGGAAGACUUUUGCUCGUGUCCACAGCGACGGCGGGGCUCAUUCUCUACUUCAAGUUAAUGGAGAACGGCCUGCUCUCCGUCAAGGUCUUCGGGGACCUUGGGACUCGCCUGAAGUGCUGCGUGGAGAGCUCCUCCGAUGAUGAAGACGCCUCCUCAAGCGGGAGUGACGAGGAGGACAACAACAGCGACGACGAGGGCGUCGAGCGGGGGGGUGCCGACCUUGUCCGACUGACCGCGUCGCCCCUCCCUCGGCCACGUGCCCUGCCAAGGGCCUUCCUCGUCAAGCUCUCCAUCGGCACGUUCCCCGUCGCCUCCUUGGGCGGCUGGCAUAGGAGGGCCGGAGAAGAUGAAGAAGGCGGGUGGCAUGCCGUCAAGUCGGAGUACGCGGGCACCGACACCUUCAUCGCGUAUUGUCGGCCCGCUGCCUCAUCUUCUGCUGCUCGUACUUCGCCUAGGCGUUCUUUUUGCCCUCCUGCCAUCUCGUUCCACCUUUUGAGGAGAGGGACAAGAAAGGGAUUACGGGCAUCUUAUCUCUUUUUAGGUUGUAAGCCCGCGGGCCUUUGUUAAAUUUGAAACUUGUAAUCCCCUUGUUCAUGUUUUUCAUUCCGUAUGAACUGUACCUGUAUGGGAUGUUUUUAAUGAAAAAGGGUGCUUGUCGGGUCCUUUAUGCGUGAGCGAGGCCUGCGCCAAGGAGCGAGUCCUUGUUAUUUUUAAGAUAAACAUUGUCGCCCGGCAACAGGCCUUGCCGUCCCCUUACUUCAUUCGACCAUUCUCACGCUCUUGGCGGAGGUAGGGCGAAGUAGAGUUAGGCCCUUCGUUUAUUUUCUUGUCACCGCGACUACGACUCAGUUCCGACCCAGGGAACAAUUUUUGGGUAUAGGAAAAAAGGGGGAGCAUGGUGGCCUAGGAAUAAAACGAGGUUUCAUACGCCCCAACUUCAUACGGAAAUGCACUAUAGGGGAUAGAAGACUUAUCUGAAUCUGCAGCCCCCGGCAGCCUUGGCUUGCCGUGGUGAUUCUUGUGUCUGCAGCCCCCGGCAACCUUGGCUUGCCGGGGCCGGAGCGCCGGCUUGUUCUCUUUCUUCCAAACAGCUCAGCAGAAACGUCCAUGUACCCUGCGAACCAAAGAGGAUGGAAAGGAACAGAGAGGCGCACACUCGACCUCUAUGCUAGGGGUUAGUCGCCACUAAGCACUAUCAACCCUAACCGAGGGAGGGACUUAACCUAGCAUGCAUGCUAAAAUUUAGGGCCCUAGCGCUUCAUUUAUUUAUGCCCAGGGUCUGCGCCUGGCUUUGUACAAAGGGUUACAUGCCUUGCCGGCAAGGCUUGUACAAAAGGUGGUUUGCCGGGGGCCCCGCAACCGCGCCUUAUGGGUAAAACUUGCGAAGAUGUUCAAUGUUCCAGGAGUUGCUCACUGGAAUAGCAUCUUCGGUCUCCAGGUGGACUGCGCCGGGCCUGGUGACUCGUAUUACCCGAUAAGGGCCUUCCCACUUUGGCGUCAACUUGUUGGAAUUCUUGGCCGAUUGAACGCGCCGAAGAACAAGGUCGCCUUCCCCAAAGCUUCGGGCAUGAACCUUGCGGCUAUGGUAGCGGCGCAAGGCUUGCUGGUAGCGCGUUGCUCUCACAGCCGCCUGAAGACGAUCUUCCUCGAGGAACGUUGCGUCAUCUUGCCGCAAUUGCUCUUGCUCAAGCUCGUCAUAAGCGAGCACUCGAGGUGACCCGUAUGUGAAUUCCGUGGGGAGAACUGCUUCUGCCCCGUAUACCGAGGCAAAGGGUGUCUGGCCGGUGGCUCGAUUUGGUGUCGUUCUGAUUGACCAAAGAACCGCUGGCAACUCAUCAAUCCAGCGCCUUCCGCUCUUGUGCAGCUUGUCAAAAGUCUUUGUCCUCAGGCCUCGUAGUACUUCAGCAUUUGCCCUCUCCGCUUGGCCGUUGCUUCGUGGGUGUGCCACGGAAGCGAAACAGACCUUGCUACCGAGGUCUUGGAUGUAUUGCAUGAAGGUGUGGCUUGUGAACUGCGUGCCGUUGUCAGUGAUGACUGUGUUUGGCACACCAAAACGGCAGACUAGCCCCUUGAAGAACUUGACGGCUGACUGCGCUGUCACCUUCCUCACUGCUUCCACCUCCGGCCACUUUGUGAACUUGCCGAUUGCAAUGUACAAGUACUCAAAGCCCCCGACAGCGCGGGAGAAAGGGCCCAGUAUGUCGAGCCCCCAGACCGAAAAUGGCCAGGAGAGAGGAAUUGUUUGAAGGGCUUGAGCUGGUUGAUGAAGCUUCUUCGAAUGGAACUGACACACUUCACACUUGGUUACUAGUGCCGUUGCAUCCUGGAGGGCAGUGGGCCAGAAGAAACCUUGCCGGAAUGCCUUACCGGCAAGGGCCCUCGACCCUAUGUGUGAACCAGAUAUGCCCCCGUCUAUCUCUGCCAACAACUCCAGUCCUUCCUCCCGGGGAAUGCACUUCAAUUUCACACCGUUCGGUCUUUUUCUGUACAGGACAUUGUCGACGAACUGAUACAUAGCAGACCGACGAGCUACUUUCUCCGCUUCUUCCUGCUCCUCAGGGAGUUCCCCUGUUUGGAGGAAUCGGACGGUAUGCUGUGCCCAUGUCGAAGCCUGGGGCUCGACGGCAAGGACCAAAGGCAUUUCCUGUGCCAUGGGAGCGGCUGUCUCGACGGCUGGGGUUUGACGCCCUGCCGGAGUCUGUCACCCCGUGGCAGGCUUGGCGUCCACGGCGACACCCUUGCCGGCGGCUCCUGGGAGCUCGGCGGAAAGUACUUGCCGGGGCCUAAUUUCCUGCACUUGUUCUGCUCUGUCGAUGGUUCAACGGAUGGUUGAGUUAACUGAAGCACAAAACUACCUGGCUCCACAGGUAGUUUGAGUGCGGCGCGCUUUGACAGGUAACACUACAAAAAAAAUAUACUUCAGUGAUGAUACGUGUUUGUCACAGUAGAUCGCGUUUUUUGUCAUGCAUGUACAUCCAUGACAAAUUUAUGACAGAAUCAAGAUAGUCAUACCUGUGCUGUCGUAGAAGUGUUCCAUGACAUUACCAAAAUUAUCAUCACGGAAGUGUCCACUUCCAUGAUGAUAAAUCGCGCGUCACAGAAGUGCUUUCGUCAAGGGUGACCGACACGUGGCAUCCACCGUAACGGAACGCCGUUAAGCUAUCGGGUCGGGUUUUGGAUCCGAUAACCCGUUAACAGCCCCGACCAAUGGGAAAUUUCCACGUGUAAAAUUCUUAUUGGCCGGACGAAACACGUGUCAGCUCGUCAGUGGGUCAGAUAGGCGCCUAUGAUAUGUCGACACGUGCCACGGCCCACCACUGGCCCAUUUAGCUUACAAAGCCGGCCCGUUUGACUUGGUCAAAAGUUAACAGGCUGGCCCAUGAAAAGCCUGUUAACGGUCUCUUCGCAAAUAGCCCAUUUUAUGGCCCGUUAACUCACGGCCCGUUAGGCCCUAAAGGAAAUCGGCCCAACAACGUCAUGUGGGCCGUCGAAUAUAACACCAGCCCAUUUCACUUUCGGCCCAUGUAUGGCCCAUGACGUCUUUCGGCCCAUAUGAGGCCUUCGUAUCUUUCGGCCCUUUACAGGCCGACGGUGACUCUAGCCCAUAAUGAACAGUAAUUUUCUUUAUACCCGUUAACGGCCCGUGAUUUACAUGGGCCGUUUCCAGCCCGUGUUAGCUUUCGGCCUAUUGACGGCCCAUAUGUUCUUGGGCUCCUUUUCGGCCCUCGAUUACUUCCGGCCCGUUACUGGCCUGUUCCCCUAAUGGUCCAAAUUCGGCCCAUGGCAAGAGUCGGCCCGUUACUGGCCUGUUCCCCUAAUGGGCCAAAUUCGGCCCAUGGCAAGAGUCGGCCCGUUACUGGCCUGUUACCCUAAUGGGCCAAAUUCGGCCCAUGGCAAGAGUCGGCCCGUUUCUGGCCUGUUAACCCGUUGCGCCGUUUCCAGCCCGUCCUAUAUUCUGGCCCAUUAACGACCCGUUAUGCCUGUGACAGAAUUAAGCCUUUGCUGUCCUACGGCCUGUUAACGGCUUGUUACCGUGCUGGGCUGAUACCAAUUACGCCCGAUUACGGCCCAUGUAGACCCAUUUAUCUGAAGGCCCGAGGCCCACCGAUUACAGGCCCAUUUAUCGACGGCCCGUAGGAGACCCAUGGAUCCUACGGCCCGUAUAUGGCCCAUGGUAGUUGCGGCCACUAGCAAACCAGGGAAAAAGAAGACUAGGAAAUAAAUAAGGCCGAAACUAACGCUAGGCUAUUAAGGCGAUUGCACAGAUUACAUCCACUCGGCAUCAAAGUUCGCCACCAGUGCAAAUAUAGGGAACACCCUACACUAUACAAAAAUGGCUUGCUGUUUUCUUCAGCCGGUGGCUGCACGUUAUGAAUAAAUUUUGUAUCGCACCAAAACAAAUUACAACUAUAUAACAAAAGGAAGGUUGGCAUAAAACUUAACAGUCUAGCAGAUAAAUGCACCACCAGAAGUUCAGAAGCUCAGUUCAUUUGACCUGACUGUUACAUUUUCAUGCUGUAUUGUCCGAUGGAGCACCAUAACCCUCGCCUUCAUUUCCCCUAGGCUCCUGAACAACAUAGCAAAUGUCUGAUAGUUUGGUUUCAAAACCAUGCAUAUCUUGACGACAUUGAGCAAUGUUUCUCCUUGUUUCACAAUGGGUCUCUGUUAGGGAAUGGACUUGUGUCUGGAGCGCAGAUACAACAUUGCUUUGAGUUUGGACGAUAUUGCCUUAACAACCAACCCAGUAUUACGUAGGAACGUGCUUUUGGCACUGUUAGUGGACAGGUACUGACCCACUGCAGCAAGAGCUGACAUUGCGGUUAUAGUUGCCUCGCCACCUUCAGAAGGUGGCGGUUCCACCAUUUUUUCCAUAGCUCGCUGAAAAGUUGAGGUUUUACAUUAGUAGUACCAGAACAGAAGAUAUUAAGGAGGCAGCGAAACCAAACAAAAUAGCUUUGGUCUAUAUACAUAACUUAUUCUGGUGAACCCAUGUAAAAUAUUAGUUGUAUUUUAUUGCAAAGUACAUAAUAAAACCAGGUUCCAAACAUAUGACCAUGUACCAUCGCUAAUGUAUUGUCUAUUUCUUCACAUUGUAUUGAGGGCUAAGGAUAAAGAGACGAAGUUUAUAAUACGGUAAGCAUAGUAUGAGAUCAUUCAUAUCACAAAACAACUAAGAACAGACAAACAUGCAAUUGUAACGUUGUGUGGGCAAGUCCAGCACGGAACUAGAUUACGGUUCAAGAUGAAAGGAACAUCACUCCUCUCUUUUAAACCUUGUAAGGUGCAAUGAUACGCUAAGAGUAAUAGACAUUGGCUGCAAACCAUGCAGUUUAAGGCACAAGUCAGAGUAAGUAGUAGUUAAAAGGCAUGAGGAUAAGGACUUACAACAGCGGCUUUGACUGGUGUAGUCAUGCCCUUCUUCUUGCUGGUGUGACAGUCCUUGAAGAUUUCCACAUCAUUUGGUUCAGGUACUUUUUGGUCCUUGCGGGCUUUCCUCUGCAUUUCAAACAAGUCAAUAUAGAUCUAAUAAUAUGGUACAGCGAAAAAAGUGAAACGACAACUAAUUACAAGAGCCUCGCAGUGUGCAAUAUAGCUACGAGAUCCUGUCGUCUGUUGGAAUUUAACUUUCGUACGGUUGGCCUUGUUCUUUGAACAGUUCACCUACAAGAAGAUAGAUUUGUGUGGCACAUGUGUAAAUAGGACUUCAACAUGUGAUCUGAUCACAUAUAUAUAAUGUACCUGAUACUUCGGAUCAGACCAGUGUUUAACAAGGCCCCUCCAGUCUUCAUCCGAUAUAUUUUCCACUGGAGAUGUUUGGGAAAGUUCACUGUUAGUGUAACACCCCGGAUGUAACUUUCCAUAUUUGUAACUCCAACUCUUGCCAUUUUCGGCUAUGUGUUAUGAUAUUCCCUCCGUGGUCGGGUUUUGUUUUUCGUUUUGUAUUUUGUUCAUGUCAUGCAUCUCAUAUCAUGUCAUCAUGUGCAUUGCAUUUGCAUACGUUGUUCGUCUCAUGCAUCCGAGCAUUUUCCCCGUUGUCCGUUUUGCAAUCCGGCACUCCCACCUCCUCCGGCGCACCCCUCUUGUUUUCUUUUCGUGAGCGGGUGUUGAACGUUCUCGGAAUGGACCGAGUCUUGUCAAGUGGCCUUGGUAUACCACCGGUAGACCACCGGUCAAGUUUCGUUCCAUUCGGAGGUCGUUUGGUGCUCCAACGGUUAACCGGGUAACCGCAACGUCCGUUUGUGUGUUGCAGCAAAACCCCCCUCCAAACAGCCCAAAACACAUCUAACUUACCUCCAUGCUCUCGGUCGUUCGAUCACGAUCGUGUGGGCGAAAACCGCACUCCGUUUGGAGUCUCCUAGCUCCCUCUACCUAUAUAUACACCUCCCCUCCCGAAAUACAUUCGCAGAUCAAACCCUAGCCCGUUCCCCUCGCGCCGCCGGACGUGUCCGCCGCCGGCCGGACGCGAACCCGCCGCCGCCCUCGCCCACUCGCAGAGUGCCACGCGGCACCCCGGGUAGCCCCGCGCCGCCGGCCCGGAGAGCCCGUGGGAGGCCCCCCGAGCCCGUCUCCUCGCCUCCUNNNNNNNNNNNNNNNNNNNNNNNNNNNNNNNNNNNNNNNNNNNNNNNNNNNNNNNNNNNNNNNNNNNNNNNNNNNNNNNNNNNNNNNNNNNNNNNNNNNNNNNNNNNNNNNNNNNNNNNNNNNNNNNNNNNNNNNNNNNNNNNNNNNNNNNNNNNNNNNNNNNNNNNNNNNNNNNNNNNNNNNNNNNNNNNNNNNNNNNNNNNNNNNNNNNNNNNNNNNNNNNNNNNNNNNNNNNNNNNNNNNNNNNNNNNNNNNNNNNNNNNNNNNNNNNNNNNNNNNNNNNNNNNNNNNNNNNNNNNNNNNNNNNNNNNNNNNNNNNNNNNNNNNNNNNNNNNNNNNNNNNNNNNNNNNNNNNNNNNNNNNNNNNNNNNNNNNNNNNNNNNNNNNNNNNNNNNNNNNNNNNNNNNNNNNNNNNNNNNNNNNNNNNNNNNNNNNNNNNNNNNNNNNNNNNNNNNNNNNNNNNNNNNNNNNNNNNNNNNNNNNNNNNNNNNNNNNNNNNNNNNNNNNNNNNNNNNNNNNNNNNNNNNNNNNNNNNNNNNNNNNNNNNNNNNNNNNNNNNNNNNNNNNNNNNNNNNNNNNNNNCCGUCCUCCGCUCGCCGGACCCCGACCACCGCCGCCGCCCGCGCCCACGCCUCCGCCCGCGACCGCCGUCCUCCUUCCCCGACCCGGACGCCUCCUCUCCGUCCCGUCGCCGGCCGCCACCGUCCGCUGCUCUGGCGAGCCAUCCCGUCGAGCUCGCGCCCCGGCCAGAUCCAAUCGAGCACCGGAGGUUGACUUUUUCUUCUCCUCCCCGAAAUAGUCUCCAAGUCCUGAAAUUUUGACAUUACAUGCCCAUGUUCAUUGCAUCAUAACUCUCUGCAUAUAGCUCCGUUUCAUGCGUGUAAUAUAUCGAAUUGUUCAACUCGAGAUGCUCUUCAUUUUGUUCCAUUGCACCAUGUUCAUUUGAGUCCAUCUUGAUGCCCAAAUCUCUGGUGCAAGAGUGCUAGUUGCUGUUAACUGCUGUUACUUAUCAGAACUUGAGGCUUUGUUAUUUUUGUUACAUUUAAUCUGUGCAUCUUAUGGGCAUGAGCUCUACAUGUGUUUUGUUGUAUGCCAUGCCAUCUUUAAAUAGGUGUAUUCCAUGUAUUUUUGUAAUCUCUGUGGUCACUAGCACAAGCAUGCAAACUAGGCUCCGUAAUGUUUCUGAUUUCAGGGACUUGGUAAUUUCUCUCAAGUCUGUGACUGCUGUUAUUUUGUUGCCAUGUAUCCAUGUGUCUACAGAGAGAUCUAUGCUCCUUUUGGAGAUGUUCAGUAAGGAUGUUUUGUAGAUAUUGUUGUAAUUGAUCCAUUCAUGCCCUUGUAUGAAAUUACGGAGUGCCAUAGCAUGACUCAAUAUUGCUCUACUUUUGCUAUAAAAUAUUUCUGGCAGAUUGUUAGCAUGAUAUUCAAUUUUGCCAAGCUUGUUGUAGUUGAUCCUUUCAUGAUAUAUACUUGCUCUUGCCAUGGAUAGCUUAAUAAACAUGCCAUCUUGCUGUAGGUAUGCUUGUUUUGUCAUGCAUUGCUUUUUGGUGAGUGCAUCAAGCUCACAAAGAUGCCUUCAUAUUGUUGUUUCUGUCAUUCUCUGUUUUCUGCUAAGUCUGAAACCUGUUAACGAAACUUGCUAUGUUUACAUGGUUGCCAUCAUAUCUUAUUUUCCUUUUGGCUUAUGGUCAGUAAUGGACUUUUGUCAUAUGCAUUUAGUAGAAUACUUUCAUGCCUUGUUUUUCCAUGUUAAGUUUCUGUAGCAUGUUUAUUGCUUGCUCUGAACAUUGCUACCUGAUGCUGUUUUAGUCAUGUCCAUUAAUUUCACUAAGUCUGGGAACCUGUUAUCUUCUGCACUUUUGCCAUGCUUGUUUGAACCUGUUAUGUUGUGAUCUAGCCGUAGCACAGUGUUCAUCUUUUGUCAAGCAUCUCCUGUAGAUUACUGUCAUAUGCUUUGUUGCUAUGUUGGAGUGCUGUAGCAUAGUUACUUGUUGCCUUCUAAGUGCUAUCAUGCUGUUAAUCACAGAUUCGUGUCAUUCUUGUUUUGCUUGCCAUUUGCAAACCGUGCAUCCGUUUCCGGUGAUCUUUAUAUCGAUUUCAACCGAAAUCAUCUCAUCUUUCCAGUGGCAUGCUUGGUUUGCCAAGUUACUGCCUUGUUCAUCAUUUUUCUUCCGGAGCACGCAUAUGCAUCGCAUAUCAUAUCUUGCAUAUCAUUCAUGUUGUGCAUCAUGUUGCUUGUGCAUUUCCCGUGAUUGAUUGUGGUUCCGUUGCUUGUGCUCUUGUUUUGGGUAGAGCCGGGAGACGAGUUCGUGAACAAGGAACCUGUUGAGUACGCUUACGAGGAUCAAGCUUUCGACAACUCUGAGAACCUUGCAGGCAAGAUGACCACACCCUCGAAAUCACUUCUAUCUUUGCUUUGCUAGUUGUUCGUUCUAUUGCCAUGCUGCGCUACCUACCACUUGCUAUAUCAUGCCUCCCAUAUUGCCAUGUCAGCCCCCUAACCAUAUUUUCCUAGCAAACCGUUGUUUGGCUAAGUUACCGCUUUUGCUCAGCCCUUCUUAUAGCGUUGCUAGUUGCAGGUGAAGUUGAAGUUUGUUCCAUGUUGGAACAUGGAUAUGUUGGGAUAUCACAACAUCUCUUAUUUAAUUAAUGCAUCUAUAUAUUUGGUAAAGGGUGGAAGGCUCGGCCUUAUGCCUGGUGUUUUGUUCCACUCUUGCCGCCCUAGUUUUCGUCAUACCGGUAUUAUGUUCCUUGAGUUUGCGUUCCUUACGCGGUUGGGUGAUUUAUGGGACCCCCUUGACAGUUCGCCUUGAAUAAAACUCCUCCAGCAAGGCCCAACCUUGGUUUUACCAUUUGCCACCUAAGCCUUUUCCCCCGGGUUUUCGCGAGCCCGAGGGUCAUCUUUAUUUAAACCCCCGAACCAGUGCUCCUUCGAGUGCUGGUCCAAACUGGGCGAUGUCCGGCGCCCCCUGGGCAACCAGGGUCUAUGCCAACCCGACGUCUUGCCCAUCCGUUGUGCCCUGAGAACGAGAUAUGUGCAGCUCCUAUCGGGAUUUGUCGACACAUUCGGGUGGCUUUGCUGGUCUUGUUUUACCAUUGUCGAAAUGUCUUGUAAACCGGGAUUCUGAGACUGAUCGGGUCUUUCCGGGAGAAGGUUUAUCCUUCGUUGACCGUGAGAGCUUAUGAUGGGCUAAGUUGGGACACCCCUGCAGGGUAUUAUCUUUUGAAAGCCGUGCCCGCGGUUAUGAGGCAGAUGAGAAUUUGUUAAUGUCCGGUUGUAGAGAACUUGUCACUUGACCCAAUUAAAAUACAUCAACUGCGUGUGUAGCCGUGAUGGUCUCUUCUCGGCGGAGUCCGGGAAGUGAACACGGUUUGAGUUAUGCAUGAACGUAAGUAUUGUCAGGAUCACUUCUUGAUCAUUUCUAGCUUCGCGACCAUUGCGUUGCUUCUCUUCUCGCUCUCAUUUGCGUAUGUUAGCCACCAUAUAUGCUUAGUGCCUGCUGCAGCCCCACCUCAUUACACCAUCCUUUCCUAUAAGCUUAAAUAGUCUUGAUCUCGCGGGUGUGAGAUUGCUGAGUCCUCGUGACUCAGAUUCUACCAAAACAGUUGCAGGUGCCGACGAUGCCAGUGCAGGUGACGCAACCGAGCUCAAGUGGGAGUUCGACGAGGAACGUGGUCGUUACUAUGUGUCUUUUCCCGAUGAUCAGUAGUGGAGCCCAGUCGGGACGAUCUAGGAUCUAGCAUUUGGGGUUAUCUUAUUUUCAUUUGGAUUUGACCGCAGUCGGUCUUUAUAUGUGGAUUUUGGAUGAUGUAUGAAUUAUAUUUAUGUAUUGUGUGAAGUGGCGAUUGUAAGCCAACUCUCGUUAUCCCAUUCUUGUUCAUUACAUGGGAUUGUGUGAAGAUGACCCUUCUUGCGACAAAACCACAAUGCGGUUAUGCCUCUAAGUCGUGCCUCGACACGUGGGAGAUAUAGCCGCAUCGUGGGCGUUACAGUUAGCCUUGCCUUCAAAGUGAAUUUUCCUCAAGUUAUACCGAUACUGUCGCAGAGCAGACUUGAAAACAUGGGUGCAAGCUUGUCUGGUUGCAUCAUCUUGGCUAUCCAACUUGAACCUCAUCUGUUGAAAAUUAUGGGAGUCUCAUUAUCAGCAACCUAGAAAGUAUGGGACAGAGCAAGACGAUAUUACUAGUUUCCAUACAUAACCAUACUUACAGAUAAAUGGUCGAGGAAGGUGUUGAACUGGGUUUCAUCUUUGUCAUUCCUGUACUGAAUCCAUGUUGGGAGGAUACGUACAUGACACCUAACGGCAACCGCUGCCUCUGAUACUAACUUGGCCGACUCUGUAGCAUCAUGUGGCCUUUUUAAACCUGCCUCAAAACGGAUCUCCAUUCUUCUUCCUCUAGAUUUAGUUAACCUAUCGAGCAUUAUCCCUGAUGUUUGUUUCCUCUUGCGCCUAGGUGCUAGUCCAACAAUGAACAUAGGAAGUGUUAGUGUACAUCAAACUGUGAGACUACAUAUAAAGAAGCAUGCAACUGUAACUUGACUCCAGCAGCUACCUUCUUGCUGUUGAAGCUCACAAGGUUCAUCUGAUAUUGCCAACUCGUCUUGUGUCAAGAGUGCUUGGGAAGUAGUGUCAGGUGGCAAGGGAGCUUGGGAACGUGCUGCUAGCUCAAUUGACGCACGAGUAAGUCGUGCAGCUGGUAGUACUGUGGUAGGUGUUGCAAGAACUAGGGCUGUCUCUGCUUGUUUGGUGGCAGCUAUUUUUUUCUGUUUGGCUUUUUUGCAACAUGUGUAGCAUGGGAUGCCGUGUUUGUAGAAUUUUCCGCUGGACUUUGACCUUCUAUUGCACCAUCAGUACCAGCAGAAUCUGCAGGAUUCAUCCGCUUCUCAUUCCCUGCCAUUAUGUGUUUCUUCCUCUUUCUCUGUGCCAUGUUAAGUCAAGCUGACAAGAAAAACGAAUAACAAUUUAGUUCUUCAGAACAAAUUGAUGCGUGAUGCAGACGAACUGAACUUUGAUGUUAGACAACCACAUGAUAGGAGGAUGUAAUAUGUAUGAAAAACAGGACGGAAGAGAUAACCAGAACUAUGAUGUGUAAACUAAGAAGAAGACAUUUCACCAAAUUAGAAGCAAUGCAAUGGAAGGUAGACACCAUAUGAAAGAUGCUACAAAUAUCGCUCUGCCAGGUUAACAGUGUCUCAUCAUAAAUGGCGUUUAAACAAAUGUGAAGAAGUACAAGAAAUAAAUCAUAUGCAAGAUGCAAACAACAUCACACUACCAUGUUAGAGGUCUCUCGUCAUUAGUGCCAUUGCAUAUGCACAACAUUGCAUAUUCACAGCUUAUGAUGUGUAAACUAAGGAGAAUGCAUUUCAACAAAUUAGAAGCAAUGAAAGCUAGACACCAUAUGAAAGAUGCAACGAAUAUCACUCUACCAAGUUAAAACCGUCUCGUCAUAAGUGCCAUUUCAACAAAUUAGUAGUACAAGCUAGAAAAGAAUGUGAGAUGUAACCUAUAUCACACUCCGAAGUCAAACGUGUCUUAUGAUAAGUGAUUGUUGCAGGUUACACAACAGUAGUAAUUUGAUGUAAGAACAUGGUGUGAUAGACAGAUAUUGUAUGUUCUAGAAACAGGAACACGUGUCUUAUUCAAGUAUAAUGUGUAAAGUAAGCAUAUGGAAUUCAACAAAAUUAGAAGCAAUACAAGCUAGACAUCACACAUAACAUGCAACCACAUAUAACAGUGCCAAGUUAGAGGGAGCACCGGUGAUGCUGCACUAGGGGAGACGUGCUCAUCAUAAACACAGCUUUGUUGAGUGUCUAUGCAUGUGUUGUCUUGGAAAUCAUCUUGGGGGUGUGGAGGAGUAGAAACUGUAGAGGCCCUCCGUUCGGAAGGAGCACCUUUAUCCGCUGCCUUGCUAACUUCCUUCCGCUUUAUUGAUUUUGAAUUAUCAAGUAAAACCGACAAGAAAAAGCAAUAAAAUUCUCUCUUCAGAACUCAUUCAUGCAUGAUACUGACAAUCACUACUUUGAUGUAAGGCGAACACAUGAUACCAGGAUGGAAUAUGUACGAAAAACAGGACAGCAUGGCAUGUUCACAACUGUUUGUGUAAACUAAGCAGAAACCAUUCCAGCAAAUAAGAAGCAAUGCAAGCUAGACACCACAUGAAAGAUGCAACCAAUAUGACUCUGCCAAGUUAAAAGCGUGCCAUCAUAAAUGGAAUUUCAAUAAAUUAGAAGCAGCGCAUGCUACAAAUCAUAUGAAAGAUGCAACUAAUAUCGCACUGCAUAUACUAAAGGUGUCUCGUCAUGUUGAUUGAUGCAGGAUACAAAAAAAACA
rnacentral:lncRNA from 1 species